UACGUAGGGUCCGAGCGUUGUCCGGAAUUAUUGGGCGUAAAGAGCUCGUAGGCGGUCUGUUACGUCCGCUGUGAAAACCCAGGGCUUAACCCUGGGCUUGCAGUGGAUACGGGCAGACUAGAGGCAGGUAGGGGAGAAUGGAAUUCCCGGUGUAGCGGUGAAAUGCGCAGAUAUCGGGAGGAACACCGGUGGCGAAGGCGGUUCUCUGGGCCUGACCUGACGCUGAGGAGCGAAAGCGUGGGGAGCGAACAGG
rnacentral:rRNA from 1 species